CCUACGGGUGGCAGCAGUGGGGAAUAUUGCACAAUGGGGGAAACCCUGAUGCAGCGACGCCGCGUGAGUGAUGAAGUAUUUCGGUAUGUAAAGCUCUAUCAGCAGGGAAGAUAAUGACGGUACCUGACUAAGAAGCCCCGGCUAACUACGUGCCAGCAGCCGCGGUAAUACGUAGGGGGCAAGCGUUAUCCGGAUUUACUGGGUGUAAAGGGAGCGUAGACGGCAGCACAAGUCUGGAGUGAAAUGCCGGGGCUUAACCCCGGAACUGCUUUGGAAACUGUGCAGCUAGAGUGCAGGAGAGGUAAGUGGAAUUCCUAGUGUAGCGGUGAAAUGCGUAGAUAUUAGGAGGAACACCAGUGGCGAAGGCGGCUUACUGGACUGUAACUGACGUUGAGGCUCGAAAGCGUGGGGAGCAAACAGGAUUAGAUACCCCAGUAGUC
rnacentral:rRNA from 1 species